AUUUCCCUCUUUCUUUAGGCCUAACACAUGCAAGUCGAACGGCAGCACAGUAAGAGCUUGCUCUUACGGGUGGCGAGUGGCGGACGGGUGAGGAAUACAUCGGAAUCUACUUUUUCGUGGGGGAUAACGUAGGGAAACUUACGCUAAUACCGCAUACGACCUACGGGUGAAAGCAGGGGAUCUUCGGACCUUGCGCGAUUGAAUGAGCCGAUGUCGGAUUAGCUAGUUGGCGGGGUAAAGGCCCACCAAGGCGACGAUCCGUAGCUGGUCUGAGAGGAUGAUCAGCCACACUGGAACUGAGACACGGCCCAGACUCCUACGGGAGGCAGCAGUGGGGAAUAUUGGACAAUGGGCGCAAGCCUGAUCCAGCCAUACCGCGUGGGUGAAGAAGGCCUUCGGGUUGUAAAGCCCUUUUGUUGGGAAAGAAAAGCAGCAGGUUAAUACCCCGCUGUUCUGACGGUACCCAAAGAAUAAGCACCGGCUAACUUCGUG
rnacentral:rRNA from 1 species